rnacentral:misc_RNA from 1 species
ACGCCAAAAGGCCUUCACUGCCUUUCUAUGCAGUUGACAGCGCAAUUCUUUGCCUUGCCACCAGAGGAGAGGCAGUUCCCUAACCAACAAAGACUGCAUGAUGCAAUUCUCCAUCAUUAUGCUGUUUUCUCUGACAAUAUCCUGGCUUGUGCAGUUGUUGUGAAUUCCACAGUCUCCUCUGCCAAGGAUGCAGAGAAAAUUGUUUUCCAUGUAGUGACUGAUUCUCUCAACUUUCCAGCAAUCUCAAUGUGGUUCUUAUUGAAUCCUCCCAGCAAAGCCACAAUUCAUAUACAGAAUAUAGAUAAUUUUGAUUGGUUGUCAGCCAAGUACAAUUCAACAUUAAAGCAGCAAAAUUCCCGUGAUCCAAGAUAUGCUUCUGCACUGAACCACCUUCGUUUCUAUCUACCAGAUAUCUUCCCUCUGCUAAAUAAGAUUGUGUUCCUUGACCAUGAUGUUGUGGUGCAAAAGGAUCUAACAGGACUUUGGAGUCUUAAUAUGAAGGGCAAAGUAAAUGGAGCGGUGGAGACUUGCAAGGAAAGUGAAGCUUCAUUUCGCCAGAUGGAUUUGUUCAUUAAUUUCUCAGAUCCAUAUGUAACAAAGAGGUUUGAUGCCAAGGCAUGCACGUGGGCAUUUGGAAUGAAUUUGUUUGAUCUGAAAGAAUGGAGGAGACGAAAAUUAACUGCUCUCUACCAUAAAUACUUGCAAGUGGGUUACAAAAAGCCGCUGUGGAAGGCCGGGAGCUUACCAUUGGGUUGGGCAACCUUCUAUAAUCAGACAGUUAUAUUGGACCGGAAUUGGCAUAGACUAGGGCUAGGUUACGACUUCGGCAUUAGACAGGAUGACAUUGACCGAGCAGCAGUGUUGCACUAUGAUGGAGUCAUGAAACCAUGGUUGGAUAUAGGUAUUGGAUAUUAUAAGAGUUACUGGACCAAACACGUCAACUAUGAUCAUCCAUACUUACAGCAGUGCAAUGUCCACGGUUAAUUGAAAUCAGAGCAUGGCAAGGGGUAUUAUUAGCCUGCACAACAUCAUUAAUUGCUUCUUGUUCUAGGAAGUUAUGUGUUAGCUUGAUUCUUUAACAAUUUCUUUUGUAAAUUUCAACUUCUUUUUUCUCCAAAAGCCGGCAUAAUCUUCUAGCAGCUGAGUCAAGUUAUACCGAUCACCAAAAUGAAAUAAGGAUCUGAGGGGCAUAUUCUUAUUUGGUAGUUACCUAGUGUGUACAUAGCUCAAUCCAGGUAUUGGAUUUAGAUUC